UACGUAGGGUGCGAGCGUUGUCCGGAUUUAUUGGGCGUAAAGAGCUCGUAGGCGGCUUGUCGCGUCGGAUGUGAAAGCCCGGGGCUUAACUCCGGGUCUGCAUUCGAUACGGGCAGGCUAGAGUGUGGUAGGGGAGAUCGGAAUUCCUGGUGUAGCGGUGAAAUGCGCAGAUAUCAGGAGGAACACCGGUGGCGAAGGCGGAUCUCUGGGCCAUUACUGACGCUGAGGAGCGAAAGCGUGGGGAGCGAACAGG
rnacentral:rRNA from 1 species